rnacentral:lncRNA from 1 species
CACCCUCGGCUCACGCGAAGCCGGAGCGGAGAAGAGUCCGUCUCUGCCGCUGUUUCUCCUCCUGCCGGUGCAUCGUCCUCCCCUCAGCCCCAAACCGGAAGUGGCAGAACUAAAGCCCAUUCUCUCACUCACAGAAACGCUCGCCUAUCAACAACCUUCAGCCCGCCCCCUGACUUCCGCUUUGGGAAGUUCCACGUCCCGGCAAGACCUACCCAAAAGGGGGGGGAGGAAAGAGCAUCGUGACGUCACCAGCAAGGCAUGCCGGGGUUUGUAGUCUCUCUUGAAGGGAGCGGGGACCAGAAACAUAGAAGUGUGCUGAGGGAAAGCUGAGGUGAAUUUUUCCCCCAGAGGGAAGGAGAGUGACCUCAUGCUUUUCAAUCACCUCAGAGGAAUGGAAGUAGCCAAGUUUGCCACCCUUUGGACCACAACAGGUGAAAUCACAUUGUAGAUAACCCGCCUUUCUGAAGUGCAAUGAAGAAUCCAGAAUGAGGAAUGGCUGGGGAACAGGAGGCUAAUCAACCCCCUGGGAGGAGUAAUUGUCCUGGUUCAUUUAAGAGAAGUCCAUUCUGCAGAUGUGCCUUCAAAAUAUUAAUGCCUUGGAGGGGAGCACAGCACAUCCCUACAAGACAUCCUCUUAGGAGUCCUGCAUAUAGGAAACUUUAUCCUGUCAUCAGCAUUUUGUAUACAGUAGUUGCAGCUACAAGAGAUGGUGCUUUCUUUCCAGCAGUUGUUCUUCCAGGAGAGGCCUUUGAAGGAAUAAUAUAAAAUUUAAAUCCAAACUGCUGAAGAAUUCUGUGGCAGGGUUUUGUUGUCUUGCAAGUAGAAUUACCAAUCUGCCAAAACUUGUUCUCAGGCUUGAGACCAACUAACAUUAGUGCCACCUCAAAUUUAUUUAAGUAAAUGAUGAAUGAAGUCUCAGGAGUGAAGUUUUAUCUCACUAUUAUAUCCUCUAAAGUGAAUUUUCCUGAUAAUGCAAUCUCUGCAAGCACUUCUUGAACAGUUAAAUUAAUUCCUGGCGAAUGGGAAAGUGUUUUGUCACAUAAGCAAAUCGUAACUGUCUGUAUAAAUAACAAUAUGCAAUUUAAGCUCAAAUCACUUUUUUCUUGUAAUGUAACACUGAAUUUUUAACCUGUAUAUUUUGAUUAAUGAUUCUGAUGUGCUGCACAUGCUGAGAAGUAGGUUUGAAGGGGGAAAUUAUCCCAACAUGAAAUGAGAUAAAUAAUUAGUAAAUGAAAUAUUUUAAAAGCUUGUUUUUAUUUGAGAAGAACAAGUAGAAGUACUAUAGUAAUGAAUGAUAGGUAGUAUCAAUAGUUGUUUCACUCUAAUUUGAAAAUCACUGAUAGCAUGAAAUACAUUUCAGUUAAAGCAAUGAGCUAAGAUUAAAUGUGUAUAAUCAUCUUAAAUCUGCAUGCAUUUUAAUCUGGAUGAUGGAUUGAGGAUUGUCAUAGUAAAUGUAAAAUAAAAAAUGAAUUAUCUUAAAAACUCUUAUGUUUUGAUUUUUAAAAAAUGCAUAAUUGAAUUCAUGAAUCAGAUCAAAUACCUAUCUAAUUAAGCCAUCUCCAAGGUAUCUCACUAUGUGCAUAAUGAAAAUAUAGGUAUUCCAAAAUCUGAAAAAAUCCAAAAUCUAAAACAUUUCUGAUCCCAAGCAUCUCAGAUAGGGGAUAUUCAACCUGUUUUGCACUUUUACUUGCUCACAUUCUUUGGAACAACCUCAGUUGAAUCAUGCUGCUGGUACAAGUAGUUUGGCUCUUUAUGUCUCUCUAGAACCUCUAAAUGUUGCCACUUAUUAAACAUUAUUUUACUUUAAUUUUGUAACACGAAGAAUUCAAAUAGAUCUAAUAAAUAAUAACACUAGCCAACACACAUUUUGAUGCUAUAAAUGUUAGACCUGUUUCUGGGUAUAUUUGAUCUGCUAAGUCCAAAAAUGACUCCAGUCUACUCCUGUCAGCUUUCAUUUUUAAAAUGCAAACCAUCUACCAAUGUUCAUCUAGUUGUCCAUAGACAGUCAUGAUAACCAUAUCUAAGAAACUAGAGCUGAUGCAUUCUAGCCAAUGUAAUUUUCUGAAUCAGCACCCCAAAUAGCCCCAGGAACAGUCCUAAAAAUCAAGGCACCAAUACAUUUUUGGGGGUUGGGCUGUGUCAUAACAAUAUAUUUUUUUAUUUAUUACCCACCUCUUCUAAUGGGUCAAGGCGGGAUACAACACUGCCAAAACACAUCAACAUAAAAUACAUACAACAAAAUAAAUAUAUUAAAACACACCAUUAUAAAAUACAUACAUCAAAACACAUGGUACAAAAAACCAAAUACAAUGCUAGUAGAAUGGAAAUCAUGGUUCAAAAUUGACUGGGUAGGCCUGCUGGAAGAGAUGGUCUUCAGUUGUGUUUUAAAUUCUGACAGCUCAUUUAUCUGCCAGAUCUGCCCAGCAGGUCAUUCCACUUUUUUCAAGUGGUCAAUGAAAAGGUCCUCUUGGUGAUGGUUGCCAGUUGGAUUCAGGCUAGUUACAGAAAGUGUCCCCUAGAGGACCUCAGGGUCCUAAGGUGGGGGGAUUAUAUGGACGAAGGUGGUUGUGUAAUAAUCAUCACAUUAGAUAUUCACAAUAUGCGGUUCAUUUCACAUACGUACUAACAUGUUUUCCCUUCCAUCUUGUUCCAAUUAGAAGAAUAAAAGGUUAGCUUUUUAUGCCCCUACCUGAGUUCAAUAUAUUAUAAUAAUCUAUUCUGGUUAAGGAUGAGCCUUAUCCACAGAAUUGUUGUAACAUCCAGUUCUGCCAGGUAGCAAACAUUCAGUGGGAGAUUCAGUUUCCCUUAAGUGUGACAGAGAGCUCUAAGCAUCAAGAACACCAAAGACUUGGGUGGAGAUUUAGACAUCAUGUGCAGCUAGAAUCUCCCUUGAUUGCCCUACCAGGGAUAAAAUGAUUGCCUUGCCUUGUGUUGUAUUCUGUUGAAAGCUUCUUUGAAAAUCAUUUGAUCAAAAGGCUGGUUGUGAAUCUUGAACUAUUUUAAAGCAUUUGUGUGAGUCACCUUUCUGCUCAGAAAGAGACUGAUGUGCCACAAAAUUAAAAAUUAAAAGCAAAACACAGAUGGCACAAUUUGGUAAUGAUUAAAAACAACAACAGAUAACUAGUAAUCUCAAAUGCCUUGGAAAAUAGACAUGUUUAAACUAAAAACAAAAAUGUAAAAUAAGGGCAUCAAUUGGACCUUUUUUGCUAGUACAGUAGAGUCUCACUUAUCCAACACUCACUUAUCCAAACAUUCUGGAUUAUCCAACGCAUUUUUGUAGUCAAUGUUUUCAAUACAUCAUGAUAUUUUGGUGCUAAAUUCGUAAACACAAUAAUUACUACACAACAUUACUGCGUAUUGAACUACCUUUUCUGUCAAAUUUGUUGUAUAACAUGAUGUUUUGGUGCUUAAUUUGUAAAAUCAUAACCUAAUUUUAUGUUUAAUAGGCGUUUCCUUAAUCCCUCCUUAUUAUCCAACAUAUUUACUUAUCCAAUGUUCUGCCGGCCCGUUUAUGUUGGAUAAGUGAGACUCUACUGUAUUCAUACCAUUCUUUAAGGCAUAUGUUUGACAACAUAAUAACAUAUUAACAAGAGCAGGCAAAUAAAAUACAAUUUUGUCAUGACCUGUCUUAGUCUAUAGAAUUAUUCCAUAGGAUUCCCUUAAUUAAACCAUUUCUGCAGAAACAACGGAGUAGAAAAAAUGUUUUCUAUCUGCUAUAUGUGAAUGUUUUUACUGUUAUUAAAUAUAUAUUGGGACAUUAUAAUUGUGGCUCUUCCACAGUUAUGGAAUUCAUAAAUCCUGCAAAGGCAAAACCUCUGAUGGGAAAUUUGUGAAGGAUCUUUGGUUGUAGUAAAUGGGUUUUUAUUGGUUAACAUCAAGGUGAUAUAAAGUCAUUCUAGUGCCUUUCAUUUACAAGUAGCACAGUAUGUCAGCACUUUUCACAUUUGUAAAAAUGGUAGAGAAUUAGAGAGCUAAAUCAGAUCUUUUUCAAAGGUUUGAUCUGAGCUAAGUUAGUUGUGCUUGGGCCCUU